GACGAACGCUGGCGGCGUGCUUAACACAUGCAAGUCGAACGGAAAGGCCCUGCUUGUGUGGGGUGCUCGAGUGGCGAACGGGUGAGUAACACGUGAGUAACCUGCCCUUGACUUUGGGAUAACUUCAGGAAACUGGGGCUAAUACCGGAUAGGAGCUCCUGCUGCAUUGUGGGGGUUGGAAAGUUUCGGCGGUUGGGGAUGGACUCGCGGCUUAUCAGCUUGUUGGUGGGGUAGUGGCUUACCAAGGCAUUGACGGGUAGCCGGCCUGAGAGGGUGACCGGCGACAUUGGGACUGAGAUACGGCACAGACUGCUACGGGAGGAAGCAGUGGGGAAUAUUGCACAAUGGGCGGAAGCCUGAUGCAGCAACGCCGCGUGCGGGAUGACGGCCUUCGGGUUGUAAACCGCUUUCGCCUGUGACGAAGCGUGAGCGACGGUAAUGGGUAAAGAAGCAACGGCUAACUACGUG
rnacentral:rRNA from 1 species